rnacentral:rRNA from 1 species
AGAGUUUGAUCCUGGCUCAGGAUGAACGCUGGCGGCGUGCCUAACACAUGCAAGUUGAGCGAUUUACUUCGGUAAAGAGCGGCGGACGGGUGAGUAACGCGUGGGUAACCUACCCUGUACACACGGAUAACAUACCGAAAGGUAUGCUAAUACGGGAUAAUAUAUUUGAGAGGCAUCUCUUAAAUAUCAAAGGUGAGCCAGUACAGGAUGGACCCGCGUCUGAUUAGCUAGUUGGUAAGGUAACGGCUUACCAAGGCGACGAUCAGUAGCCGACCUGAGAGGGUGAUCGGCCACAUUGGAACUGAGACACGGUCCAAACUCCUACGGGAGGCAGCAGUGGGGAAUAUUGCACAAUGGGCGAAAGCCUGAUGCAGCAACGCCGCGUGAGUGAUGAAGGCCUUCGGGUCGUAAAACUCUGUCCUCAAGGAAGAUAAUGACGGUACUUGAGGAGGAAGCCCCGGCUAACUACGUGCCAGCAGCCGCGGUAAUACGUAGGGGGCUAGCGUUAUCCGGAUUUACUGGGCGUAAAGGGUGCGUAGGCGGUCUUUCAAGUCAGGAGUGAAAGGCUACGGCUCAACCGUAGUAAGCUCUUGAAACUGGGAGACUUGAGUGCAGGAGAGGAGAGUGGAAUUCCUAGUGUAGCGGUGAAAUGCGUAGAUAUUAGGAGGAACACCAGUUGCGAAGGCGGCUCUCUGGACUGUAACUGACGCUGAGGCACGAAAGCGUGGGGAGCAAACAGGAUUAGAUACCCUGGUAGUCCACGCUGUAAACGAUGAGUACUAGGUGUCGGGGGUUACCCCCUUCGGUGCCGCAGCUAACGCAUUAAGUACUCCGCCUGGGAAGUACGCUCGCAAGAGUGAAACUCAAAGGAAUUGACGGGGACCCGCACAAGUAGCGGAGCAUGUGGUUUAAUUCGAAGCAACGCGAAGAACCUUACCUAAGCUUGACAUCCCAAUGACAUCUCCUUAAUCGGAGAGUUCCCUUCGGGGACAUUGGUGACAGGUGGUGCAUGGUUGUCGUCAGCUCGUGUCGUGAGAUGUUGGGUUAAGUCCCGCAACGAGCGCAACCCUUGUCUUUAGUUGCCAUCAUUAAGUUGGGCACUCUAGAGAGACUGCCAGGGAUAACCUGGAGGAAGGUGGGGAUGACGUCAAAUCAUCAUGCCCCUUAUGCUUAGGGCUACACACGUGCUACAAUGGGUAGUACAGAGGGUUGCCAAGCCGUAAGGUGGAGCUAAUCCCUUANUUUUUUGUAAAAUAGUAACUUUUUGAGAUAAUUUUUCUUUAUUUUAUGUUAUAAUUGGUAAAAUAUGUUAUUAUAUGUGUUUUCUACUAAAAUAAAGUAAUUUUUCCAUAACAAAAUGACUGCCAAAAAGGCAGUCAUUCUAGACUUUUCUUAGGUAUACAAUACACCUAGGACUCUUUUUGGCAACUGGCUGACAUAGUUCAUGUAUACAAACCUUAGUCCCUAUAGCUUUGCGUCACUAGAUUUCUCUAGAUUUGCCUAUUUAGUUUUAACUUAAGUAUACAAUAAAUAACAAAUUUUUUAAAUAUUUUUUUAAGUAUUUUUUCUAUAUAAUUUUUUAAUUUAAUUUUUAAUAUUAAUUUUUAUAAUAUUUUUAAUAUAUUUAUAUUUAUAACAUUUAAUUUAUAUAAUGUACAUAUAUAUUAAAAAUAUACAAAAAUUUACAAUAUAAAAUAAAUUUAUUCUAAGUUUGUCUUUUACAAUAAUUUCAUUAAGACCAUAUAUUCUAACAUUACUUUCCAAUUAUAUGCUUAGGAGUACAUAUCUAUUUAAAGUUUUCCCUUUUAUUUUCACUUUUAGGGAUAAAAAAUUUGUAAUUUUCUCUACUUUUGAUAAAUUUUAUUUUAGACUGGUUAUAUAGGAAUACAGUCUAAAAUGUUGUAUAGAGUAACAAAAUAAAUUUAAAAAAGGUCAAACUUUAAUUAAUUUGCCCUUUAUUAUCUUAUAUUUAUUAAAAUUGAUAAUUUUUUAACUCCUUCUUAAGCCUAAAUUUAUCUAAUUAUCAAUUAAUUUUAACUAAAUAUGGUUAUUCAAAACGUAUUCUAAUACAUUAGUAUGUAUUUUUUCACCACAACUUCCAUCUGUAUUUGAUAGUACACUAUUUAAAGAAUUUAAUCUUUGAUUUAGCUUAUAAUCAUUAUUAUUUUUUACUAAGUUCAUAAAUUUUAUUAAAUCCAUAUCUUCUUCUCCUACUAUAUAAUUUGAAAAUAUAUCGAAUAUUCUUGAAUCAUAAUAUCCACGUUCCAUAUCUAUAUCAUAAAUUAAUAUAGGUUUCUUCGUUUGAAUAUAUUCUAUUAAUACAGAAGACCUAUCCGUUAUUAAAGCAUGGGAUAAGUUGAAUGAUUCAUAGUAAGAUACAGAGUCAUCUAAAAUAAUAUUAUUUUUUAUAGAUAUUGAAUCUAGCAAAGUUUUGUAUCUAUUAAAACAUUCUGGAACUUUAGAUUUUACAUACUCAAGUUCUAAUGGAUGUGGUCUAUAUAUAAGACCAUACUCUUGACUAUUUUCAAUAAUAUCAAAUACAUUUUCAAUCUCAUCAAUGACACCAUCUUUUCCAUUAGGUAUUUUCAUUAGAUUAGUUGUCCAUAAGAAAAUUAUUUUACCCUUUAAUUUAGAUUCAUAAUCUUUAUUUAUAUUAUUCUGUUUUAAAUUGUAAAUUAAAGAAUCAAAUUUUGGAGAUCCCAUUGUUAGUAUUUGAUUUUUAUUUAUACCACUACAUUCUGCUAUAAUUUCAAAUGCAGGAGAUUGCACAAUAACCUUAUCAAAAUUUCUAGAUGCUAUCAGUUCAUAAAAAUUUAAGUAAAAACUAACAGGAUAAGUUCCAAGUAUUCCAUAAGCAACAUAUACAAGCAUAUUAGUAUAUUGUUUCAAGUUAUAAGAAAAAUAAUUACUAUCUACCAUUGUAGCAUUGUUACAAUCAUCAUAUUGAUUAUGAACAUAUAUUAUAUCAGGCUUCUCCUUAGAUAAAUCAAAAUCAUCAUAAUGUAUUAUUGGAACAUAUUCAGGAAAAUCAUUACCUUCAUAUGUAUAUAUUUGAGUUAUACCAUUAGGCGUAUCAAUUAACUUGUAAUAAGGUAUGGGAACUACAUAGCAGUCACACUGCUCAUCCAAAACCGCAGAUUUCCAGAUAC